rnacentral:rRNA from 1 species
CCUACGGGAGGCAGCAGUGAGGAAUAUUGGUCAAUGGUCGGGAGACUGAACCAGCCAAGCCGCGUGAGGGAUGAAGGUACAGAGUAUCGUAAACCUCUUUUAUAAGGGAAUAAAGUGUGGGACGUGUCCUGUUUUGUAUGUACCUUAUGAAUAAGGAUCGGCUAACUCCGUGCCAGCAGCCGCGGUAAUACGGAGGAUCCGAGCGUUAUCCGGAUUUAUUGGGUUUAAAGGGUGCGUAGGCGGCCUUUUAAGUCAGCGGUGAAAGUCUGUGGCUCAACCAUAGAAUUGCCGUUGAAACUGGGAGGCUUGAGUAUGUUUGAGGCAGGCGGAAUGCGUGGUGUAGCGGUGAAAUGCUUAGAUAUCACGCAGAACCCCGAUUGCGAAGGCAGCCUGCCAAGCCAUGACUGACGCUGAUGCACGAAAGCGUGGGGAUCAAACAGGAUUAGAUACCCGAGUAGUC